UCCGGUUUAACACCGGCAGUCUCGUCUGAGAGGAAGUCCAACAGACGAUAGGGGUUGCGCUCGUUGGCGGACUGAACCGUACAUUUCACAACACGAGCUGACGACAACCGUGCAACACCUGUGUAGCACCCUCGAAGGUCACACGUUUCCGUGCGCUUGCAGCUACAUGUCAAGCCCUGGUAAGGUUCUUCGCUUAGUGUCGAAUUAAACCACACGCUCCACCGCUUGUGCGGGUCCCCGUCAAUUCCUUUGAGUUUUAGCCUUGCGGCCGUACUCCCCAGGCGGCAGACUUCACGCGUUAGCUUCGGCACCAGCAGGGUCGAUACUGCCAAUGCCUAGUCUGCAUCGUUUACGGCGUGGACUAC
rnacentral:misc_RNA from 1 species